rnacentral:rRNA from 1 species
UACGGAGGGGACUAGCGUUGUUCGGAAUUACUGGGCGUAAAGCGCACGUAGGCGGAUUUGUAAGUCAGGGGUGAAAUCCCGGGGCUCAACCUCGGAACUGCCUUUGAUACUGCAAAUCUCGAGUCCGGAAGAGGUGAGUGGAAUUCCUAGUGUAGAGGUGAAAUUCGUAGAUAUUAGGAAGAACACCAGUGGCGAAGGCGGCUCACUGGUCCGGUACUGACGUUGAGGUGCGAAAGCGUGGGGAGCAAACAGG